AAAUCACAUCAAGCCCUGCCUUUGACUGAUGGAAAAGAGAGUGUUCUGUUUUCCACUAAAGAACCUCAAGGAAACUAGAGGGUGAAUUUCUGGUCACUGAAGAUGAGAACCGGAGCUGUAAUGGUCAUUCUAUCCCCCAGGUCCUGGCUGGUGACCUACCUGCAAGAACAGGCCAUUUGGUUUUCCAAGGUCUCUUUUCUCCUACAAGAUAGGACUUAGACAUACUGCAUUAUAAUUACUUGACCAAAAUAUAUUCUUGUUCUCUGAUUUCAUUUGACAGAGUGAUAGUGACCAUUAUGUACCGAGCAUUGCGUCCAAGGGCUAAGACCAUAGAGAUGAUGCAGACAGUCUCUCCCCACAUGAAGCUCAAUGUCUAGUGGAAAGAUAACAUAAAUUUAACUAUGACACAGUAGACUAAUGCCAUGUUGUCAACUGGAUUACAAUCUCCAUGUAACUGAAUUCUUGAUGAGUGUGUCCUCAACCCUGAUUGUAGAAAUGGGAAAAGGUUCUCGAACUCUGUGUCAUCACCCAAAUGCUCUACUUUCUCAAGGUUUUCCUCAGCCCUGCAUACCCCUGACAAUAGUAGAAAUAGAGGCCCGUGUUCCAUAGUCUAAGUCUUUAAAAAUUAUAAAUCGAGCUAACAGACUGAGAAAUAAAUCAUAUUUCAUCUCCAUAGAUUGACAAAUAGAACUUAGUCUCCACCUGGAAGGCCAAGUUCGAAAGUUUUAGGAGUUCAUGUGAUGUCAUGGAGUGAGUAGGCCCCAGCUCCUGGCUCCUUCCUUUUAGCCAAUCCACCUUCCAGUCCCACUCUGGCUCCAUCCUGCAUUGUGAAGGGUCUCUGUGUUCACAGAACACUGAAGACUGGUCAGUCCUUCAGAGGAUGGACUGGGGAAGAGCCCACACAGGCCCAGGGAUCUGGCUCAGAGAUGUUUCAGCAGGAAAUUCUGUGGCCUUGAUACAUAUAGCGUGCUCUAGAAGGGGUGUGCUGUCUUCAAGUGAGUACAACUCCAUGAUCCCACCUGCCCAUCUCUUCGUGUGCUGCGGUGCAGGCAGUGAAACACAAGAGCAGAGUCCUCUGCUGUGUGGUCUAGGACAGCAGCUUUGCUUGUGCGGGCAUGAGAGAGGUACCCACUCUUUCCUUCCUGAUCUUGCUUCCCUGAGGAAACUGCUCCCCAGAGCCCUCUCAGAAGGCACUUGUUUUCUAUCUUGCACUUCUUGAGGAUGGGCUGAGUGUCUUCCUUGCUCCUCAUUGCCACU
rnacentral:lncRNA from 10 species